UUGCUUUCUUCACUUUUAUUGGCUUUCUUCAUAUUAUUUUCAGUUUCAAUCUUCUUUAAGGAUGACUAUUCUCAUUGAGCAACCACAGCUUGUUACAGGGUUUGAGGAAGAGGAAAAGAAGAUCCCUGUUGACGAGAAAGAACUGGGGCUGGACGGUGGAUUUGUGGUGCCACAAACCAACUCUUUUGGCCAAACUUUUAGAGAUUAUGAUGCUGGAGGUGAGAGGCAACCAGGUGUGGAGAAUUUCUACAGGAUUAAUCACAUUAGCCAGACCUAUGACUUUGUGAAAAGGAUGAGAGAAGAGUAUGCCAAGCUGAACAGAGUGGAAAUGAGCAUAUGGGAAUGUUGUGAACUUCUUAAUAAUGUUGUAGAUGAGAGUGAUCCUGACUUGGAUGAACCUCAAAUUGAGCAUUUGCUGCAAACAGCUGAGGCCAUUAGAAAGGACUAUCCCAAUGAAGACUGGCUGCACUUGACUGGCCUUAUUCAUGAUCUUGGAAAGGUGCUUCUUCUUCCCAGCUUUGGUGAGCUUCCACAAUGGGUGACACUUUCCCUGUUGGAUGUGCUUUUGAUGAAUCAAUAGUCCAUCACAAGUAUUUCAAGGAGAAUCCUGACUACAAUAAUCCUGCUUUCAAUACUAAGUAUGGGGUUUACUCAGAAGGAUGUGGAUUAAACAAUGUUAUGAUGUCGUGGGGACACGAUGAUUACAUGUGUCUGGUGGCCAAGGAGAAUAAGACAACUCUACCUUCAGCAGCUCUUUUCAUCAUCAGAUACCAUUCAUUCUAUGCCCUACACAGGUCAGAAGCAUACAAGCACUUGAUGAAUGAAGAGGAUAUUGAAAAUCUGAAGUGGCUUCAAAUAUUCAACAAAUAUGACCUCUACAGCAAGAGCAAAGUUCGUAUUGAUGUGGAAAAGGUCAAGCCAUACUAUCUCUCCCUCAUUGAAAAGUACUUCCCUGCAAAGCUAAAAUGGUGAAUCUUGAAAGAUUUCAAGUUCAAUCAGUGAAGAUCAGGAUGCUUAAUAUCUUGCAGAGAUAAAGGGCUGCUGUAGUUCCCUUGGAAACAGCUUUGUAGCAGUAAUUACAGUUUUUUUGUGCAUCCAGCUCGAUCUUUGUAGCUUGAGUGUCA
rnacentral:misc_RNA from 1 species